GAGGAAUUCUUUCAGUUGGGAACUUCUCAACACUGUUUUCUCAGGAAAUUCAGAUUGUGAACUACCUCCAAAACAGAGGACCGCUGUUUGCACAAUAAUGUAUACAAGUGGAACGACUGGAGAACCAAAAGGUGUAAUCGUUAGCAAUGCAGCAUUAAUGUCAGAAGUAUUGUCAGCAGACCAUAGUUUCGUAACAGAUAGAGUGGUACAGAAGAAGAUUCAAAUUUUUCGUUUCUCCCGUUGGC